CUAUUGUGUAGCGAUGGAAGUUGUAAAAAUAUAAAACAACAAAAACAUAUACACGUCGAACAGAUUCUUUUAAAGUGGCGACAACUAAUACUUAAUAAUAAUAAUUAAGUACAACAUGGUAAUAAAUUGUAUCACAAAAUAAACAAUAAUCAAUUAUUUUUUUAUAUUAAGUCGUUUGUUUGUUUAGCUGGUUAGUAACUACCAUUCGGAUGAGAACACAUAAGACAAAACGUCACCACUUAACUUCUGCGGUGGUGUAGCUCUCUUUGCCUUUGCCGCCAUAUUUGAACAGCACUAUCCGUGCGCGGUCGGUCGCUGAGCAUUACGUCAGCGACGAUCGCAGUGCCGCCUCACCGGAAGGAUCAAAUUGUCACACUACUCGUCGGUAGUCGGUUUUCUCGCUGACGACGUUCCGUGCUUCGGAGAAACGAUUUCGACCCACAACACAUACUAUUACAAUAAUCCCCACCAACGUCAUAACUGGCGGACGAAAACGCGGUCGGUUCGUCAUCGCCGUCCACCGGUAACCAGUGCGGGCAACUGCAUGCGCCGAUUUCGACUACACUGUAAAAAGUGGUGAUACGAACAUUUUUUUUAACCUUUCAUUAUUUACGUGAACUUUUUCGCUUUACGUAUAUUUUUUCCUGAAAAAAAAAUGGUGUAUCUCGUUAGGCGUUAGUGAAUCGUGUUUUGAUUGUUAUUAUUAUUUUUUUUUGUUUUCGUUUGCUUGUUCUCUAAGUAUCAUAGUCGCACCUUGUCUGCCGACGAUUCUACCGACGUCCGGUGAAUCGCGUACGUUUCAAUUUGGUUUUUCCGAAACGGAUAAAACGAUACGCCCGUCCAUUGUUUGUGCAACCGCUCCGAGACGAGUCGUCCGUUUCAUCAACAAACGCUUAACAGUCUGAUGGAUAAUAUUUGUUUUUUCACUGAACAACGCCUGAAGAAUUAAGAAAUGCCACACAAGUGAUUGGCUUUUAUCAAUGUUGUAUUCCAUUAGGUACCUACGUUCAGUUUGUUUAGUAGAGUAUAGUAUGUUUUAUCCAUUUUGUGUUUAUUAUCAAUUGUAUUGAAGAAAUAAAAUGUUACUUUUUUCAUUAAAUAAACACAUUGUUUAGCUUACAGACUACCAUGUUUGAAAAACCAUUUGUUUUCUGAAAAUGUAUGAUUAUUGGUCAUUGAAGAACAAUAUUGCAAUAUUAUUCUGAACAUCUAUUUCAAUCGGAUUAAUACGAAUUGGAUAUUACAUACUAUAUUAGUCAGUGCAAUUAAUAAUAAUGUUUAAAACAAAUUAUACCAUAUUGAAGGGAAACAAAUGUUUCAGAGUAAAUGCCUUACUAUUCAGUCAAACUUCUGUGUGCACUAAGACAGAGUACUAUAUGGCUACUUAUUAUAGGCUACUUCCUACUGGUGGAGGCAUUUAUUAAAGGUAAUUGAUAUAUUAUUCUUUUUAUUUUAUUAGUAUUCUGAGUUAUAUUUCAUUAAUUAAACAUUUGAAAAAAUUUGAACUGUAUAUUUAUUUUUGUAUAGAAAGUUAUUUUCUAUAAUCAAUUAAGUAUACAUUUACUCUUUACAUUCUGCUACAACUUUAAAAUUAGACUCUGUCAGUGUUUUAAACAUUUAAUUGGCCUGUAGUAGGUAUACCUAAUAUUAAUUAUGUGUAUACAUGGUUAGUGGUUACCUAUGAAUUUAACCAAAAUUAUUCAAAAAUGUGUAUUUAUUUAAAUAUUGAUGGACAAUAUAUGUUUUUAAAUGGAAUACAUGUUUACUCUUAAAAAUUUUAAAUAUUGAAAGAAUUCUUUAUUUAUUUAAAACAAAAUAUUGUAUAUGAAUAAAAUCUGAUUACUUCUCUGACUGUGAAAAGUAAUUAUUCUGUGUUCCUCAAUUUAACAGAUUAUACCUAAACUGGAAGAAGAAAGUUAAUAAUCAAAUUCACAAUUGAAAGGUAUAUUAAUUUUACUGGUAAAUUCAAAAUUAUCUCUAUUUUAAUGUAAUAAUGUUAUGGUAAGAUCUUUAUGUUUAGAGGUAUAAGGCUAUGCUAUUAUGAUAUUUAUAAAUUAUUUUAAAUGGCAUUCUAUUUUUUUUUUUGUGUGUGUAUGUGUGUAGUGUGUGUAUUCAAAAUGUGGUCUUGACUGAAAUUUCAACUUAUAAUUAUUUAUAUUUAUUUUUAUUUUGGUAUUUAUGUAAUUAGUUAUAUUAUUCUUGUAUAAAAUAUCCAAUUAAAAAAUAAUAUACCUAUUUAUUUUAUAAUAAUUAUAAUUAGUUAAAUAAUAUAACAUAUUAUAUUAUUCCUUUAUGUAUGUGUCAGUUGUUUCUAAAAUACUUAAAAUAUUAAUGCAAAUCAAGCAAUAAAUAAUUGACACUGGUAUGUUUUUUUUUUAGCUGAAUGUUUUAAAAAUGUAAAUAUUUGUUCUGAAUAAUUAAUUUAAGAAUUAAAACGGGUUAUUAAGUAACAAUUGUUUUUCUUUUUUUAUAUACAAUCUUUUAUUAUUAAAUUGAUUAAAAUAUACUCUGACAUUAAAGUGCAGAGUUAUGUAAAUGUUUGUUAAAACUCCUGAAAAUUAUUAAUUUAUUAGUACUACAUUAUUAUACCAUAUACUGGAUAAAAAAAUGUUCAAAUAGCCAUCAUGGUUUUAAGUUGUAACUUUUAAACUGUAACCAAUAAAUAAGUAAAAAUAAUUUUAUAUUA